rnacentral:tRNA from 1 species
GGAGAGGUGACCGAGCCGGCUGAAGGUGCACGCCUGCUAAGCGUGUGUGGGGGAAACUCUACCGUGGGUUCGAAUCCCACCCUCUCCGCCA